UUGCUAUGGGAGUACAUACACUAAAACUGGAACAGCAUAGAGAAUAUUAUCAUGGUCACUGAAUUAGGAUGACACUUAAAUUCAUGAAGUAUUCCAUUAAACG